AAUAAUUUCUUUUAGAAAUUAUCUGUAAAAAAAAAAUAAAAAAAACAUCUCGAUUAUUUUAAUGGCGAUUUUACAUUUGUCUAAAUAAUUACGAGAUCAACAAUUUCGCGGUGCAUAGUCAGAAAUAAAAAAAAAUAUAAAAGGGAAACAACAUAGAGUGAUAUACAAGUGAAGAUUUCGCUGGAUAUUCACUUUGGAAUCAUGUUCUUUGUGUGUCUUGACCAAUGCUCUAUUAACUGAUUAUUCUAGCAACUAAAUUAUUAAUUCAGUGGUCCAAAUUUCAUCAAUGAAUAGUCUGUAUAUCAGUGAUGUCCUUCUUCUCAUAGAGUAAUGUUGCUUUUUUUUCUAUACUCGCGCGCGCGCGAUACUAACUAUUAUUGUUAAAAUAUUCCAUGCAUGAUCUGGAACACGUUGAAUACACAUUAAAUCGAAUUAUAGAAUAAGCGAAUCAAUAAAUAACCGGAAUUUUAGUGAUUGUUCUCAUGUCGAAUGUCCUCAUAUAAAAAAUUGCCUGCUUUUGUUUAGUAAGAUAUAUGAUCAGAAGUAUACGUGAGAUCAGGUGUGUCUCAAAAUAGUUGCAAAUUAGUUUAAUUCUAGUUUCUUUUCAAUUAAGGCUUCUCUUCGGUUAAUGUGAGUUAGAUUAGAUUAGAUUUACUCUGUUGUAAUUUCAAUAAACAUUCGUCAUUUAUAAUGAUGCUAGAUUAUAAUAUGUACUUAAUCAAUAUAUAAAAACAGUUGAAAACGUGCUAAUUGAAUUUAAACAAUAUUUUGAAAAAUGCAAAUUUAUCGUAUAUAUCCAUUUUACUGGAUUUUAUUUCAAUUUGUAACAUAAAUAUCCAUGUAUAGGGCAUGAUUCUUGUGAUUGCAAUAUAAUUUCGCGUUUAAAAUAAAGGAUAAAUUCUAUCGUAUAGAUAUAAUUCUGGUAUAAUUGAUUGUAUCAACCAAAUGUGCAUUACAUUCAAAUAAAAUAAAUAAUAAACUUUUUUCAUAAGCGGAUAACUAUUACGAAGUAAUAUUGCAGUUACAGAACAUUCUAUUUAAUUAUUACUCGUCGAAGGCUCGCAGCACUACUACUAUUCGUAUGUAAAAUAGAAAAACUAGACAACGAUUUAUUACUUGUGUGUGAUCAGUGUGCAUUGUUAGUUCAAUUUAUCAAUAGUUCAUAUCGAAGGUACGAUCUACAAGAAUCGUCCUACCUCUUGCUAUGGCUCCGCGAAUCUUUAAUACAUUUCUUUAAAUUAUUACAAUUGUAUAGCGUUAUACUCGUGAAUACUAGAUAUUCCUCUAAGACCUCCGAGAGCAAGUGUGCAAAGUGAAUGUGACAUAUGUGUGGAAUGCGAGCGCAUUAAUAUGCGAUAUAUUUGUGUGCGUGUAUGCGAAUGAAAGUAAGUACGAAAAUAUAAAAAUAUUUGCGAGAAAGAGACGGGCUACCGUUAGCAAAUAAAUAACAAAUGUAAUAAAAGAGAUCGCUUUUCGUGGAGUAUGUAUUUGUAGAUUCAAGGUUUAAGGAGACAAUUAGGGAAAUACGUACGACGGAGUUGGACCCACGACAUAGAGCCAUACUGGGAGAGAAUAUCAACGUCGCGCGAUUGUUUUUACAUUUUAUCAAUUUAUUAAUACUAGCAACACAUGUUUCGACAGCCGUUAUCUCAAUAUAUAGAACCAUGAUAAUUGCGCUUUGAAGGAAUUAUAGAUUUCUCUUGCGUGAAAUGGCUAAAACUGUCGAAAUGUUCCUGCUCGCUCUUACAACCCGAUUCAUAUAUCAUUCUAAGGAGAAGUGACCAGUUUUUACAGCAGAGAGCCAGUACUGCCUUUCAAAAGCUAUGUGAUUAUAGAGUAAUAUAUAUCGUUCAUCAUAUAAAAGUUUGUUUCUUAAUCCGCCUCAAUAAACCGUUUUAUCGAAUCGAAUUUUCGCUAAGCUGAAUAUCGUUUACAUUUUCCAUAGAAAAUUCUAUGCUGUUAAUUUUAUCGACAAUUGUUAGUAUAAAACGCUUAUAUUGUUAUUCGUAAUGUUUAUAUAGAGCUUUCUAUGAGAUACGCUGUGCGUUUUAAGCGACUAUUUUUGGAGCUACUUUCUUCAAAUAAUCAUCAACUCCCCGAUGUGAAGAAAAUAAAAAUAUAUAAAUGCUUUGAGCAACUUCGGAUUGUGAUAGAUAGUGGAAUUUACAUCAUUAAGUUGAAUCUUCUGUUUUAUGAUGAUUUUGAGAAGGAAAAAAAAAAUUCUUCAUGAUGCUUUGUUAUCGGUACGUUCAGUAUCACAUGUAUUAUAGGCAAAAAGUUAAAUUUACUGCGUUGAUUAUUGUACGAAUUUACUCUCGUCGUUACUAUUUUUAUCUCUUUCAAGCGUACUAUCAUUUACUGCAUUGUCAUGUUCUAAAUGCGUGCGACGCAGAAGGAGAUAUGUAAAGUUAGGAAUUGAUGUUUAUAAAAUCAUUCAAUGCAGUUCACUUUAACUUUGACGAUACGGAGUUAACUUUGGAGUUUACUCUUCCUUUCUCUCUCUCGCAUAGUAUAUAACAAGUUUAAAGUCAAUAUUCUAUUACGUGUGAUUUUUGUUGUAAUAACUCGAAGACUAUAAAGAAGAUUGAAUUAUUGUUUCUGAACGAGAUAGUGAAUGAUAAGACGAUAUUCUUAAUAUUUCAAUCUCAUUCUCAGGAUGGUUUUAAGCUAAUUUAGAAAUCGUAGAAUUUAUAAAACAGCCGCGUGCGUUAUAUGUUUCUGCGUACAGAAUUCAAUUGCCAAAAUUUUCUCGCAAGAGUUUGCAUUAAUGCCAUUUAAUCAUACUAAAUGUACCUGCAUUGAAUACUGUAUUGCGUACCGAUGAGUAUUAUUUUUUCCUCUCAACAAACUGAAUAUGCUUUACAAAUUGCGAUUUUAUUCAUAUAAAAUUAUAUAAAUGAGAUUGUGAAUAUCUCGAAUAAUUCUUUCUCUCUCUUUUUCUUAGCUUAUAGUGUAUGGUUUUCUUUAGGAUACUAUUGUGUCGAAUAUAUUAUUUUAUUUUUAUUUUAUUUUCAAGUAUAUUAUAUAUAUUUAUUUUUAUUGUGUAUAUUAAAUGAAUGUUUUGUCGUGUGUUGAAAAUGCUCUCGAAGAGUUUUUUGCGAAAUUAAAGUUGUAACAUAUAUAAGUUUUAGAGUAAUUUUUGUUCUUAUUUUUUCAAAAAUUUCUGUAAUUACUUAAUUCUUAUAUUUUUGUAAUUUAUCAUGUCGCAAAUCUGCUUAUAUUACAAUAAAGGCUCCGUAAAACGGAUGUAUUAUUGAAAUUGAAAUGUUUAUUUGCUAAGUAAAGCUCUACCAUGAGAAAGUAAAAUUGAUGCGGAAAACAUUUUUGUGUCACAACUUGUCUCUUACGUCUUCGAUAGAUUAUUACGAAUGUUUUUUAAACAAUAAAAUAUAUAUAGAUUAAGAAAAUUGUAUUUUCACUACAUGAAGCACAAAUUGCGAACAAAUGUAUCCGCAUUAUCUAUUAUUUCUUUUUUAUAUAAAAAAAAUUGCAAGUUGAUUAUAUCAAUAAGAAAUAGCAUAAGAGUUCUUUUCUUUUUUCCCUUUUUUCUUUUUCUUCUUAAUUUUUCUUAUUUUUAUCGAUAAAUAGAAUUGUAUGAAAUUGUCGCGUAUGUCGCGUUUACUUUUGCAUCGUAUCUCGACGCGUUGCAGGUAAAAUAUACUUAUAGUCCAAAUGUGUUCAGUAGUUUUUCGAUAAUAUUUAAUUAAAAAGUGCAUAUUUGCCGAAAUUUAUUUCGAAAUGUUAAGCAUUAAGCUUAAUAAGAUGCAAGCUUAAUAAGAUUAAGAAUAAACUACAUAAUCAGUAUUGUUGCACUUAUAAAAAGCAACAAAACUCUGUCACAGCGGAUUGUAAAUGACAAAUGUGUCUUUCAUAUAAUACGCUUGCUCAUGAUAGAUGUAAAACUGAUUGUUUCUUAUAUCGGGAAUACUAUAAAUUCGACGAAGGAGAUAUAAUGAGGUAUUAAUUGAGCAAUUUGCAUACACAUAAUGCAUUAGAAGAUAUGCAGCACGUUUUUCAUGUGUAGGAAAGUACACGAAAAACAUGAUUAAUAAAAAAAAAACACUUUUUAUUAUUGAUAAAAAAAGAACGCAAGAAAUAUUUUUUCGUUGCACAGUCUACUUGAGAUAUUUAUAUCGCCGAUUUAACAUUUAAACUCUUCCCUUUCUCUUAUCGAGGGUCCGCCGUCAGUUUCGCGUCCCUUCACUUUUAAUAAAAUAGAAGAUCAUUAUUAUUAUUAAGAAAAUCUAUAUAAUAUUGUUAGAAAUGACAUACAAUUCGUUUGUCUCGUGCGCAAAUUGGAUCGAUCUCUGGUGUGUUUUUCGAUACUUCUUUCACUGUGACUCAAUAUAAAUCGUCCAAUUAUCAGCAACUGUAAUGUUGUUAUAUCGUCGUUGUAUGAUUAAUGAGCUUGUCUGGUUAUUGUAUAAAUAAGAGAGGAAUUAUAAUCAUUACCCCGUUUGUUUUAAACGGUAGAAAAAGAAAUCAAUAGUCAUCAGUGGAUAUGUAUAUUCAUAGAGUCUGGUGGUGAGGAGAUAAAGCGAUCCUAUCUUUAAUUUCGUUUUUUACGAUGAUAUAUUUUUGUUAUUGGAUAUGUAGAUUAAUAAAAUUCCGAAUACACUAA